GACGAACGCUGGCGGCGUGCUUAACACAUGCAAGUCGAACGGAAAGGCCCUGCUUGCUGGGUACUCGAGUGGCGAACGGGUGAGUAAUACGUAGGUGAUCUGCCCUGUGCUUCGGGCUACGCCUGGGCAACUGGGUCUAUUACCGGAUAGGAGCCAUUUUGAGUGUGUUGGUUGGUAGGUUUUUUCGGUGUAGGAUGAGCUUGCGGGCUAUCAGCUUGUUGGUGGGGUAAUGGCCUACCGCGGCGGCGACGGGUAGCCGGGCUGAGAGGGUGGACGGCCACAGUGGAGCCGAGUAACGGCCGAGGCUCCGAGGGGAGGCAGAAGAGGGGAAUAUUGCUCAAGGGGCGCAGGCCUGAGGCAGCGGGGCGGCGUGGGGGAUGGCAGCCUUCGGGUUGUAGACGCAGUUCGCUAGGGACGAAGCUUGUUGUGACGGUACCUAGAUAAGAAGCACCGGCUAACUACGUG
rnacentral:rRNA from 1 species